CCUACGGGAGGCAGCAGUGAGGAAUAUUGGUCAAUGGGCGCGAGCCUGAACCAGCCAAGCAGCGUGAAGGAAGACUGCCCUACGGGUUGUAAACUUCUUUUAUAAAGGACUAAAGUGAGGCACGCGUGCCUUUUUGUAUGUACUUUAUGAAUAAGGAUCGGCUAACUCCGUGCCAGCAGCCGCGGUAAUACGGAGGAUCCGAGCGUUAUCCGGAUUUAUUGGGUUUAAAGGGUGCGUAGGUGGGUGGUUAAGUCAGUUGUGAAAGUUUGCGGCUCAACCGUGAAAUUGCAAUUGAUACUGGCAGUCUUGAGUAUAGUUGAGGUAGGCGGAAUGCGUGGUGUAGCGGUGAAAUGCUUAGAGAUCACGAAGAACACCGAUUGCGAAGGCAGCUUACUAAGCUGCCACUGACAUUGAUGCUCGAAAGUGUGGGUAGCAAACAGGAUUAGAUACCCUUGUAGUC
rnacentral:rRNA from 1 species